rnacentral:lncRNA from 1 species
AACUUAAAACAAUAUCAUAUCAAGAGAGGGGUUCCGUGUAAAUCAUGCUCUCAAUUUAUCAUCAUUAUGAAACACAUGCAUAUCCAUAUAUAAUAUAUCAAAUCACAUUGGAAUUAGGCCUAAAGACCAAAUCAAUAUCAUAAAACGUUUAAAACAUAAUCAUAUUCAUAAUUUCAAAACCCCCAUCUGAAAACAUAAAUUUUUAAAGCCUAUGAGAUUUUUGAGAUAACCCCACGUACCUCUAUAUGCGAAUAUGAUAGGUGCUUCUUGAAGCCUACGUUGCGGAGAUUCCAAAUCUUCAAUUUGUUUUGAAAACCCAUGGUUGAAUCUUGAACUACUUGGGUUUUUAUUUUAAAUCCUAGAGAGAGUUCUUGCACAAUUUUGAUGAAUGAAGGUGUAUUUCGGGAUCUUUGGGAACUGAAUUCUGUGUUUAGGGCUAAGUAAGUGUGGAAAAUGACCAUUUUUCCCAAAAACGGAAUUUUUAAGCCACCUGAAACCUUUACAUAGGCGCUGCCUAUGCUAUCACCUAUGUUUACAUAGGCGCCGCCUAUGCUAUCGCCUAUGUUUACAUAGGCGCCGCCUACUACUUUGAAAGGCCAUAACUUCUUGCUCAGGUGUCGGGUUUUAGCAAAAUUGGUAUCGUUGGAAAGAUAACUCAAAGACCUAUCAGUUGACACAUAGUAGGCUCUCUAAUUUGACAUAUACAAAGAUUUAUGGUCUAUAGAAGAUGACACAAAUUAUAACGUACACUAAAACUUAAUCGAUCGAAAUAGUUUCAACUCGUCCUUGAGUUGAAUGACUUCUAUGGUCUAAAUUCAAGCUUGAAUGGAUUCACAUACUACACAAAUAAUUAACAUGCCAUAUUGGCAUAGGAUUUAUGGCUUCGGAAUUAUCAACGCAUCGGAAUCAUGGUCUAUAUUGUAGCCUGAAAUGCGGGGCAUUACAUUAUCUCCCCCUUGGGAUCAUUCGUCCUCGAAUGAUGGGUAGGAGUAUAUUGAAGCUUAGGGGUAUGUAAUAACGCGGACACGACAUGUCCUCUAAUAAAGAAUACACUGAUCUAAAAUAUGACCAUAUAGAUGGAACUACUAAUGUUCUAAAUUCUUAUACCAGACAUGCAUAUCUGAUGCAUGGAAUACACGACUGAAGCUACUCAUAAGCUGAAUUCUCAUAAUGAACAUGCAUACCUGAUGCAUGGAUUUGUUACUGAGUUGUUCUCAUGAACGCAGAACUGAAUACACUGUUAAGCUAAACUUUUUCUAUUAGACAUACAUUUCUAAUACAUGCAUAUCUGACUGAACUGACAUAUGAACAUAUGACUGAAUACACAAUGAUAACUGGUGCGGAGCUUGUAAUAAAAAUCUAUGCAUGCAGCUAAAUGGGGUAUCUCCCCCUUGGGACCCUAUGUCCCUCUAUGAAUGCUCAAUUCACUAAGAUACUCAGAAAACUGUGGCGAUGCACAGGGCACCUAUGAAUUGAAUCAUAAUUGAACAUCUGGAAUCUGAAUUUAAUGCAUGAUGCAUGAACUGGGCUAUACUCGUAACUACUAGUAUACUCUAUCUUGGAAUAAUAGCAUGAAUAAGUGCAAAGACGAGAAAACAAGUCAUUCGAAUCUGACUGCUAAACUGACUUAUUGGUCAUAUAGACUAAAUUAUACUACACCCUCAUGCUUAACUGGAGUAUCUCUUCAGCACAAUUCUCAAAAUAAAUUCUAGCGGUAGUAGGGAGCCAUGAAUCUUGGGUAUGGAUUACACAAGACAUCCAACUGAGGAAAUCACAAUAUUUACUCUACUAUGCAAUCUGGAAUAUAGGCAUAUAACUUCUAAAUUAGGAUAGAAUUUUCAGACCUUUGGCAAUACAACUUCUUACUUUCAGGCUUAGUGCACUUCCCGAAUAUCCCUUAACUAUACUAUUCCCUAUAAAUAUCAUAUUCAUUCAAAUCAAAGCAUUGACAAAUCUUUCUACUAAUGUCAAAAAUAACUUAAUACCUUCGCCAUGAUCAAGCCUAACUCUAAGUCACAAAAAAAAAUACAACAUGCCAGACCUCGCUAUUAUUCUAAACCAUAUGAUGCAAUCUUCUAUAUCUCCCUUAAAGAUCACAUCCUAAGUAUAACAUGCCUUACCACUUCAAUGACUACUUUGAACUCAUAAUAUAAAGUCGCUAAUGCAUAUUGCGACCUUCCACUACAAUCCUAAAACAUCAUUCAAGCCUAAUUUAUAACCACAUGUUAACUNNNNNNNNNNNNNNNNNNNNNNNNNNNNNNNNNNNNNNNNNNNNNNNNNNNNNNNNNNNNNNNNNNNNNNNNNNNNNNNNNNNNNNNNNNNNNNNNNNNNNNNNNNNNNNNNNNNNNNNNNNNNNNNNNNNNUACUUAUGGCCUUAUCUAAGCAAGCAUACUAUGAUCUUCCAUCAACAAGAACAUUUACAUCGUCACCACUAUCAUUGUAUAGGGAGGGUCACUAAAAGGUUAAAACAUAAGAUCCUGAAGCAUGAAAAAAUUUUUAUACGGGACUGAGCACACUAUAAAGAGUGAUUACAUGCGUCAUGAGUUGCAUGACCUCAACUAGAGUUCAUAACAUAAGGAAUGUGAUUACGACUACUUGAAUGAACUAGAACUCAUUAUCUCGAAAUUAGAAGAGUACGUGACUCUCUAUCAUAUAUAGGAAUCAUGAACUAUGAUCACAGAACUGGAUCGUAAGGCAUGAGUAAGCACCCGAAUAACUAAAAAAAAAUACUGAGGUAGGAAUGGGUUGAGAUUCACCCUCACUUUCUGAUGUUCUAAAUCAUACUGCAUCACUACUAGAAUCUGAGAGCCGUACUAGGUCAUUCGUUCUAUCAUCCCCCCCUCAGCUUCACGUCAUCAUCUAGAGUUUGGGAGAUCCUAUACCAGAUUCUAACCGAACUACACUUACUACACUCUAGGGUCUGAAAAAAAUGACAAUGCAUGCAUAUCAUAGAACUUAACCCGAAUGACUACCUUAUGGGAUACAUUAGUUUGCACACUUAUUUCUAUCGGUUCAACCUUCAAAAAUAAAACUUAGAUUCUAACACUUAACAUGGAUAUCACCAAGCCUUUGAUGAACCAAACCACUUUCGACAUAGCGUACUAAUAUCGUGACUCCCAACUUAUGCCUUAUUACUAUGAGAAUCAAGAUUAUAUAAAAGGAUCAACACUAUCAAUCAAAACUCUUUAAACUAACUAUUUAGAACCCAUAUAAUAUCUACUAGUCUUUCCCCAUCUAGCAACUCAACGGUACUACUAGCCACACACAAUAUGUAAUGGCCUUAGAAAAAAUGCUGCAACCUCAUGUCACCUUAGGCAUACUUCUACAUCACACAUACAAUAUCAUACAUCACUACGAAUUAAAUAAACUUAAUCUAUUGCAUGCACUGUUCAAGCCUAUUUGAUUACUUCUAUAACACUAGUAUUCAUUAACCAAGAAAUCUUCACAUCCGCCUUCAUGGACAUCAACUAUUCAAACUUAAUAUCUAGUGCUAUGCAUGAUUUACAACCCAACCUUACAUAAAAUUUUCACUUAGAAACUAUAAAUAAACAUCACGAAACACUAGUGUACUAGAACUUCAUAACCACAAUAAUCGAUCAUGACCUAACAGUUUCCCCUUAUCAUAAUCCAUUAGUAUGUACUAUUUCAGCACCUCAAGCCUACCAACUUAAUCCCACAAAACAUGCAUCAUCAAACUCUUGGCACUAUUUACCACCACACCAUUUAAAUUCAAGCCUAUAGUUUAGUAUCAAUCAUCUACCUCCAAUGAAGAAUGCAACAUAAUAUAAAUAUACUAAUCCAUCAAAUUGGGACAUUCUACCCAAAUAUCUCAACAAUCUACAACAUACCUUCUCACAAGUAGCACUAGUUUACAACUAUCAAUAAAAAGAGGGUCAAGGGGGUUAAAGCCUCAUAAUAGACAUGGUCAACCUUAUCCUUAUAUUAUAACCCUGUACAAUCGUAUCUACUUAUACUGCUUUCUCACAUCACAAUUACUUACCUAAGCGUACAUUUACACUACCUUCAAAGUCUACAACAACCAUGAGUAUAUACUUAUAACCUACUGGCUAAUCUGGCCAUUUUCAUACUUCAAGUAAGGACAAUUCACCUCGCCUAAUAACUCCUUCUCUAUCUUCUACUAAUAAAAUAACAUACAAGGAUGAAUCAUCUCUUUACCGGCCCAAUCUUAUGCAACCAGAUUCAGUUAUACAUAUAUUAAACCUACACAAGAACAACAAGUUGGACAAUAAGUUGCUAGUGAAUUGAAAUAGGCCUCACACAGCUUCACUAGACUUUGAUUUUGUAUUUUGAAUAAGAAAGUGGGAUGAAUGACAAGUCAACUAUGCUAGUGAAUCGAAAGAGCCCCACACGGCUUCACUGGACUUUAUUUUUUUCAACAACACUUUGAUGACAAUAUUUCAUGAGAUAGAGAUUUAAUACACAAUAUUCAAUGAACUAAGAAUACACAUCUUACUCUAUAGAAAUAAAAUCGGAGUCAAACACUUCCUUCAUGGACUACCAUACUGUCCAAAUAUGCUGCUAGCUACCAAAUUAGUUUAUCACUAUAAAGGGGUAAAUCAUCCUCACUCUGACUUCUAACUUUAUGACUUCACAUCACCAACUUCUUAGUCUAAUUUUAUUACCAAUAGGUCAUGACAGCAACACUUUAACACACACUACUAUUUGGGUGGAAAUACAUUUCCAACAUUCUUCUACAUUAUAUUUCCUCUGAAGCAUGACACUGGAAACAUAAGUUCUGAAAAGAACUGAAUACGCUUAAUACUGCAGGCUGAAAAGCAUGAUUUUAUCAAAAUCAAGGUUCACACUAGAACCAACAUACUUUGAAGUACUAACGGACUCUUCUCAAGUCCUUGCAAAAAUCUUAUAUGAUUCGAUCAGAACGAGCUAUACCAUUUAGACUCUAAACUUCUAUACUUGAAUCGGCCCAAUGAUGAGACAUGUCUGAGAAUGUCCGAGUAAGGAAAAAAUUGGGAUGACUGUUACUUUUGUAUGGGUGACACCAUAGCACAAAUUUGAGUAUGAAAGAGAGAACAUUCUGACUCUAUUACACGAACUAGAACAUGAAGAAAGAGAGACAUUCCUAAACGCCUAGUAGCCUCCUGCUUAUAAGUGUGGCGCACUACAUACCCAUAAACAAGACUCUACUCGAACUGAUUUCGCAGACACUCUGUGACUAUUAACCAUGCUCUAAUACCAAGUUUGUCACUGUCACGCCCCAAAUCCUAUAAGGCGGACUAGCACCCGUUGCCGGUAAGGCUCGGGAGAACCAACCUGUAGCAAUAUAUUACCUAUGAACAUUAUAAGUUCCUUUCAUACUAAACAUGCCCUCAAAAGAUAAAUAGGACUAGCAAGCCAAAAGAUAUUAUAUGACUAGGCCGUUGGAGCCACAAUGUCUACGAUACGAUACAUGACCAUACUAUACUUUACGUAGUCUACAAAGCCUCUAGACAAGAAACGUUAUCUUAUAAGGGUCGGGACAGGCCCCGCCUCAUGAUAAGAUACUAUACAAUGCAAAAAGAUAUGAUAAGACUCAAAGCCCCGAAGCAACCUGGAGCUCAGUGACUGCGGUUGAUAUCCUGUACUCUUACUAGGGAGGUUUAUUAGCUUCUGUACCUGCAGCAUGGAAUGCAGGUCCCCCAAGAGGGACGUCAGUACGAAAUAAUGUACUGAAUAUGUAAGGCAACAUGUACUAUAUAUGAGAUAAAAACUCAAAUGAAACCAUGUACUGCUGUAGGGUAAAAGACCACCUUUAUGAAUAUUGUGGAGUCAUGUAUCUUAUAACAAUUAUGUUACUUUACUCUUAUUACUUGAAUAAUCUGUGCACAGCAUGUAAUACAAAUGACCAGCUGAUCAGUGGUAAUUCUAUAUCAGGAUCGACCCAUGCUAGGCUUUCCUUUCACCCCUGGGAUACCCCCUGUAAUACUGGGAUUGACCCAUGCUAGGUGAUUCUUUCACCCCUGGGAUACCACCCAACAGAAGCAACUGUAUACAUAUAUCUUCUUAUUACUUUUGAGAUGAAUCUUUGGUGGUCGUAACAUUUGAGCUAUAAGACUAUAAGCAUGACAAAUGACAAGUAUGUGUCCAUGUAACAUCAUAUCAUAAUGAAAAGAGUGGGUUGUACAAUUAGUGAAACAUGUAGGACAUAAACAACGUAUGAACUUUAUUUAGCUAAAAAGAAGACUCAUAUGUCAUGGUACCCAAUGUAUGUAUGCAGCAGUGACAAUGCUCGAAUCUGGACACACAAGUACAUGUUAAAGAGUGGAGUGGUUAUGUCAAAGUUUGUAAAGAUCUCUAUGUGCCAAUGAAGACUUUGGAUUCCAUGCCAAAUAAUAAGAGAUCGAAUAGCCUUACAUACCUCGACAUAUCAACUUGUUUUUACGUCGAAAUGACUUCUUUUCUUCCAACUAUUUAUCUACAAUAUCAUGUUUUAAAGCUAGUAUUAGCAGCUAAUCAAUGCAUCUGGACAGCCCAAUCUCACAAGACACAACACUUUGGCAACAAACGUAUAACCAUCAACUCAAUGGUGUUAUUCCGACUUUCUCAAUUCUAACUGUAUUCAACCAGCAUAGAUUAUCAUAUACAUGAUGUAUACAGCCUAUAUUAGUUCUAUAACAUGCUGGCAACAGUCCAUAACUACAACACAUAACCAUUUUACAAAACGCUCAACUAAGAAGCACAACAUCUCGUCGUCUCCCUACAUUUCGUCGUUAACAAUUCAUACUUGUCCCAACUUUGAACCAGAUGCUCCCAACAUAUAUAUACAUCAAAUAAACCUUAACAUAGUCACAAAAUAGCUCAAAACGUAGGGGAAACGUGAAACAACAUCCCCCUCAACAAAACAGUCCAAUACCAGUUUGGAAGCACAUAAGAUCAUAUAAGGAUACUUGUUUCCAAAGAACUAGCAAAACAGUCCAGCAACCUUGGCAACCAUAUACACACUAUAACAUGUUAAUAACCUCAACUUUACAUCAUAUUAAAGUGAAAAAUCAGGGUAAAAAUCGUUCCAAAGCCAAGAAAACCAAACAACAACUUUCAGGACACAAGCUGUCCAGAAAUUCCUGCACAGUGAACCAGCCAACUUAUCUUGUUUUCCAUGGAAAAUUCAUAUCAAGUAUAUGGUUAUUUUUACAUACCUUAACUCCCAAGGUGUAGGUCUAAUUCAAGAACUCAAAAAGUAGCCUUUGGUUGCCUUCCAAGGUGAAGAAAUACCAAGAGAAACUUAGAGAGAAAUUCUGAAAUUUUUUGGUCUUUUCUUUGGUUAACCUAGAGCUCGGUUUUGGUCCCUUUUUAAGGAGACUUUAGACCGACUUUCUCCUAAUAUUUGUAGCUGAUUAACUCAAGUUGGUCAAUGACUAAUUUUCCCCUUUCACUUGGGCCUUUUGGAUCUCUAAAUCAAUGGGCUUUAGUGGCCCAUUUCCUUACUCUUUCUUGCACUUUGUUUGGGCUCAAUUUUGUUAGUAGUGAAUGAAUGUGGUUGGGCCUAUUAUAUAAAAAUCUUGGGCUGAACAUCUUGGCCCAAUAUAAUGUUAAACCAUUGUCUUUAAUAGCCUCCCUAACUUGGGCUUCGUUUGUCACAAGACUUGGAAAGUUUCGGCGUUAAGCCUUGUCUUCGUUCCCCUUUCUUUUUACUAACGUCUAGACUUCAAGUGAGUUCACUUAUGAAUGAAUUCUUCUCCCUCAUGUAUAUAUAAUUUUUAAGCUAAGCACACAGGUGACUCACCUGCUAGCUCCCUAAGUUCCAUAAGCAUGUCAAUGUUUUUUUUUUCUCCGUUUAAGGCCACAGUCUCUAAAUAGACUUCCAUAUAGUGCCCCAAUCCAACACUUGAACACUUGAAAAAUUUUGGUAGUAAUUAAAUCAAGUCGUAUGUCAUUUUAUGUGAACAUUACUAGUACAUGUAAAAUGUGGGGUGUUACAGUCACGACCCAAAUAGGGGCCUUGUUCGUGACGAGUAAUUUGAACCAUGAGGCCCGAAAUACCCCUAUCUGUCUGGUAAUUAUGCACACAAUUCAUAUGAUAAAAGAAAUGCGGAAGAUACACUAUAUAACAAAAACAUGGUCAAGAAUCAUAUAAAAACAAUAAUGGGGAAUAAUGUCCCACAAUCUCAAUCAACAUCUCUAUAACGUCUGCGAAAUCUCUACUACAUGACUAAAAUAAAUGUCUAUCUGAAAACUAGGAUAAGACCCCCAGUAGACCCAAAAUUAAUAAAUGAUAAAUUAAACUACAGACAUCAGGCCUUUCGAAAUAUAGAAGGCUCACCACUUGAUUCUGCGAUCUGUCGGAAGGAAUCUACUGGUUGUCUGGACCCUUAGACUGUGCCUCCAAACUUGAAAGGGGAGGGGGGUCAAUCCAAAAGUACUGGUACGCAGAGAAAUCAAAACAGAAAUAUAAUAUUUUUACACAAUAUAGGUGAGAGCCAUUAUAAAGCAGUUACAUAUCAAAUUAUUUGAAAACACAUAGGCAUAAUGUAAAAGUUUUCAAUACCAAUGUAAUGCAAUUGAGAUAGGUGGAAUACCCAACAAAUGUAAUUCCACGGCUAUGUGGAAUCCACCUCUGGUGCUCGGCGGCCAAGCCUACAAUCUAAGUAGACGCCAGGAGUUGGAGCCGGUAUACCCCCCAUGUGAGUACACCGUAGGGAAUAUUUCCCCCCAUGUGAGAUAUACCAAUUGUUUUAUUAUCCUUCUAUGUAGGAUACAAUAUCAUAUGACCCACAUCGGCAACUACGGUUUCCAGCGAUGAGCCCUUUCACUCAAACGCCUUCUUCGGGCAUCCACCUUUCUCAUGAAAAUCAAUGCAUUCAAACUUUGUUCAAAUCAAUCACAUGUCAUACUCUGUAGGGUAUCAUCAUAUCCGACUUGCAAGUCAUUAGUAUUAUAUCAUUCUCUUCAUUCAAUCAUCAUAUGCAACAUAUUUCAACAUGAACAAAACAACCCUCUCUUUGAAAGUCAAAAACUAUAUCCAAAUCAUGACAUUUUAAAGACAUUUCAUGACAUACAUUUCAAGAUGAUUUCAAACGAUUCAUAUCAUGUGAAAACUUAAAAAAAUAUCAUAUCAAGAGAGGGGUUCCGUGUAAAUCAUGCUCUCAAUUUAUCAUCAUUAUGAAACACAUGCAUAUCCAUAUAUAAAAUAUCAAAUCACAUUGGAAUUAGUCCUAAAUACCAAAUCAAUAUCGUAAAACUUUUAAAACAUAAUUAUAUUCGUAAUUUCAAAACCCCUAUUUUGAAAAUAUGAAUUUAAUAAUACCAUGAGAUUUUUGAGAUAACCCCACGUACCUCUAUAUGCGAAUAUGAUAGGUGCUUCUUGAAGCCUACGUUGCGGAGAUUCCAAAUCUUCAAUUUAUUUUGAAAACCCAUGGUUGAAUCUUGAACUACUUGGAUUUUUAUUUUGAAACCCUAGAGAGAGUUCUUGAACAAUUUUGAUGAAUGAAGGUGUAUUUUGGGGUCUUUGGGAACUGAAUUUCGUGUUUA